GAUCCGCCCAUCCUUGCGUCCAGUACACCAUCCCUGCUCAUCCUCAUCCUCUAGCUUCUCAAAGGUGUCCCCUGAAAGGAAAAGAAGAAAGGCAAUGUAGCAAAUUACAAUUGUGAUGAUGCAUCCUUGAUUUUUUGGGUCUUGUCAAAGAAAUGCAUAUACAAUAUCACAUGUUUGAAGGAAAGGAAGAGAGGAGAGGGUAAGUCCUAUUGGUCAGUAGACUGGCAAUUAAACUUGGAAAUACAACCAGCAAUGACAUCCUCCAAAUGCCACCCCUCCUGGUACAUGGCCCUAAUCCCUCAGUGGAAGAACCUGCUGCUAACUCACCGACUUUGAAAGAGAGCUCAUCUGACUCAACACCUUCGUAGUCAUAGAGCGCUCGAACUGGCACUCCAGGUUUGUUGGGAUCAACCAUGCGAUCGCUGUAGUCCCACUCAUCGUCAUCUCCACUCACUCCAUUGCUGUAAAAAGGGCAUGGAGAGAUACAUAAAGAGAGAACAAAACAGGGUAUAUUUUUGUCUUUUGGUUUUGCUAUGGUUGCCCAUCACUUUUAAGGGACUAGAUGAUCCCACAUGCAAACUUACUAUCUAAGUUCUCAUUAGAUUCACAAAAAGCCAUGGUGUGCAAAACAUAUAUAUCAAAAGCAUAAACUUUAUAUAGACGUAAUGAGUUAAAAAGCUCAUAAAGCUGAAA